UGCUGUCGACUGGAGUCCAGAUGGCCAGAGAGUGGCAAGUGGUGGAAGGACAAAUGCCUCCGGAUAUGGAGGAGAUGACCCCCACCUGGACUUGGCCUGUGCCAGCUGCCUGCCUGACAGAGACCAGAGGCCGGGCGGUGACCCGGAGAACAAGUGUGGCCUACUGUCCUCGCACAGACCCUAGAGCAGAUGGGAGGUCACAGUGGUUACCGCAGAGCUCAGCCCUUGGCCGUCACUCUGCACCUUCCUGGUACCAUCAGGGGUGACAGGAGGCCAGGCAACGACUGGACCCCUGCUGCUGCCCUGCCUCCUUUCCCUGCUGUCAGCUCUGUUCAGAGUCAGACCCCAGAUUCUGUGACCAAAUAAAUAACUUAUAUUUUGUGUG